GGAGUGGUGUCCGAGCUGGCCGAAGGAGCGGCACUGGAAAUGCCGUAGCGGGGUUCCUCGCUCGUGGGUUCGAAUCCCACCUACUCCG
rnacentral:tRNA from 1 species